rnacentral:rRNA from 1 species
AACGAACGCUGGCGGCAGGCUUAACACAUGCAAGUCGAACGCCCCGCAAGGGGAGUGGCAGACGGGUGAGUAACGCGUGGGAACGUACCUUUCAGUUCGGAAUAACUCAGGGAAACUUGUGCUAAUACCGGAUACGCCCGCAAGGGGAAAGAUUUAUCGCUGAAAGAUCGGCCCGCGUUGGAUUAGCUAGUUGGCGGGGUAAAGGCCUACCAAGGCGACGAUCCAUAGCUGGUCUGAGAGGAUGAUCAGCCACACUGGGACUGAGACACGGCCCAGACUCCUACGGGAGGCAGCAGUGGGGAAUAUUGGACAAUGGGCGCAAGCCUGAUCCAGCCAUGCCGCGUGUGUGAUGAAGGCCUUAGGGUUGUAAAGCACUUUCACCGAUGAAGAUAAUGACGGUAGUCGGAGAAGAAGCCCCGGCUAACUUCGUG